CAGAGAAUAGUUUAAUAAUAAAAUGUUAGUUUUGGGAACUGAUGAUAGGAGGAAACUCUUUUCUCUGA
rnacentral:tRNA from 1 species